rnacentral:lncRNA from 1 species
GGCGCACAUUCCGGUGGGAGUGACCGGAAACACUUGCUGUGAACUCCCUGCCUGCAGGUCUCUAUGGGAACUCCACCCUCAGCCUACCGUCAGUUUUCAUAUGGUCUGCUCAGCACUCCAUUUCCAUGGCCAUGGCUCUGCCUGCAUCUCUGGAGACCUGUUCCUGCCAGGGCCAACCAGGUGAGUUCCCCA